rnacentral:rRNA from 1 species
UACGGAGGGUGCAAGCGUUGUCCGGAUUUAUUGGGUUUAAAGUGUGCGUAGGCGGCCCGUUAAGUCAGUGGUGAAAGCCUCCAGCUCAACUGGAGAACUGCCAUUGAUACUGGCGGGCUUGAGUACAGACGAGGUAGGCGGAAUUGAUUGUGUAGCGGUGAAAUGCAUAGAUACAAUCAAGAACACCGAUUGCGUAGGCAGCUUACUAGGCUGUAACUGACGCUGAGACACGAAAGCGUGGGUAGCAAACAGG